CAGCCGCCGCGGGAAUACGUAGGUGGCAAGCGUUGUCCGGAAUUAUUGGGCGUAAAGGGCUCGCAGGCGGUUUCUUAAGUCUGAUGUGAAAGCCCCCGGCUCAACCGGGGAGGGUCAUUGGAAACUGGGAAACUUGAGUGCAGAAGAGGAGAGUGGAAUCCCACGUGUAGCGGUGAAAUGCGUAGAGAUGUGGAGGAACACCAGUGGCGAAGGCGACUCUCUGGUCUGUAACUGACGCUGAGGAGCGAAAGCGUGGGGAGCGAACAGGAUUAGAUACCCCUGUAGUCCCUGUCUCUUAUAU
rnacentral:rRNA from 1 species